UGUUUUUGUGUUUCUCACUUUCAGAUAUAUUUACCAUUUUGUUUAGGGAAGGUGGAAGAGAAACACAAAAACAGACAGAUGACUAUAUGAAAGAUAAGAAUUGAGAGGAAAAGUGGAAAAUUUUAAUAUGGUAAAUCCUCAGUUCGUGCUGACAACCCACACCUGAUUUACACAUUUUAUGACCACAGGAAACUUUCUCAUUAUGGCAGAUUACAAUUUAAUGGGCGCAGUUCUGUGACUUUUCAGAAAGUUUCUCUAAAAGCAGAGGAAGAAUUAAUUUGUGAAGUUGUGUUGUUUAGAUGUUAAGUUCUUGAAAGUAACAGGAUUUACUGAAAUAACCUUCUUCUAGGUGGUGGGCUGGAUAUUGCUGAAUAAACUGUAGAUGUUCUUUGCAUGUGCAGCUAUUGUUUGAUUAUUGAAUAGUCUCAGUUUUCAUGCCCGCUAUGACUAAAUUUUGCAUCAUUAACUGUGUCACACUGAUUCAAAGCUGUCAUUCAGAGCUUUGUCUCACACAUGCUGUUAUACGUCAACCUAUUUGUCUGAUCUUAGCUUUUAUUUUGAAAGGUCACAGUCCAUGAAAGUAGUUAAAAUAUAUUUUAGCAUGUCGUUUCAUUUCUAUCUAUUUGUUUCUUGAUAUCUCUAAUUUCCGUCCUCUGUCACAGCCAAGCUCAAGGCUGCAUAAACAACCAGCUGGCUGUUGCUAAAAAUAACCUUAUUUGAUAUCAGUAAAAC